rnacentral:rRNA from 1 species
GGAGUAUGUUUGAGGGCACUGUAUUUGAUAGCAGAUUCCGUGCGAAAAGCCUCAUCACUAGCAGCAGAUUAGGAAUCCGGGCCCUCCUCCGGCCCGCUUUCUCCCCAUCCAGACCACACCACACCACACCACUUGCUCCGUCGCUCCUCCCCUUUCUUCUUCCCCACCCCCUUUCCGGCCCCCUUUUCCCAGCUCCUCGCAUAGCCAACAAGACCGGAUCGAUCAGCCCGAGCCCCCUGCGACUCCGCCGCCGUGCCGUCUCACCGCCGACGCCUCAGUCCCGCCCCCGCCCCCGCCUCAACGCCCGUCGCCGGUCCCGCUCUUCCUCGCCGGCGGCACGCCGCGCUCCUGCUGUCUACCCCCCACCCCGUCCCAGCCUCUAUCCCGCCGUUGGGUUUGAGGGAGAGCGGAAGGGGCCGAGGAAGGGAUUAGGGCUGGAGCAGGGAGCGCGCAGGCGGCGACAUGUCGGGGGAGGACGUCCGCAAGGUCCAGAAUCUCAUCGAGCGCUGUCUCCAGCUGUAUAUGAACCAGAAAGAAGUGAUUGAUACCCUCUCCCUUGAGGCCAAGAUAGAACCGAGCUUUACUGAACUUGUUUGGCAAAAACUUGAGGAAGAGAACCGUGAAUUUUUUAAGGCAUACUAUUUGAGGCUGAUGCUUAAGAAUCAAAUAACGGCCUUCAACAAGCUUCUUGAGGAUCAGUUCCAGCUUAUGAACAAAGACUAUUCUUCAGGGAUCCCUUCUAUGCCUCUUACUAAUGGCUCCAACUCCACAACAUUGAAGCAAAACUUGUGCUUUUUACCAGAGUCUGGUCCCAUAUCUGCAAUGCCAAAUGGUGUGAUGCGCAAUGGAAGUUCAGGUGGUUUAGUAAAUGGAACAUCAUCUGGUGAUCAUUCAAUUUAUGGUGGUAAAGACAUUCAUGGUCCUCAUAGUAGCAUGGAUGCUUCAACCAACGUGCUACCAGCCCAAAAUGCAUCUGCUCUGCUGUAUGGUGCAGAUAAUAAUGGUACAACAAUAAAGACAGAGUCAAGCUAUUCGAGCAACGCUGAUUUUGCUUUCUGUGGGAACGCUUUCCUUGAAUCAUGCCAAUCAAUUGGCGAUGCCUCGGGUGGUUCCUUUAGCAGCUCAGAUUUGAACGGGCAACCACUGAAUGAUGCACUUUUGGAUAUGGAGUCAUCGUCAUUUGGCUUCUUGAGCCAGAUUCCCCGGAAUUUCAGUUUUUCAGACUUAACAGAGGGGUUCAAUCAAAAUACAGAAGUAUUAGAGAAUUAUGGCAGGUCGCCAUUUCUCUCAUCUGAGCCAAAUAACUUCUCAGAUUCUACAGGUGGAGAACAUACAGGCUGAGCAGCUACCCACCUUUUUGUACAUAUUCAUGGAGAACUUGAGCAACUUUCAUGCUAGCCUUUUCCCUUAUCAGUUCCGAUGUCUUGUAAUGUAGAGUAUGGGAUGAGUUGUAACUUGAUCAAAAGAUGCAGCAGAUCUGGCCCCCGGUCGCUUGCCGAAGGUAUUGUAGUUGUGCCCUGCCUUGUACAUUGGUGUUGUGCUGUAAGAUCAGCAUUAGUAGCUGUGAUGUUAAAUUUGCUGGGUUAAUGGGUUAUGUUCUUGUCUGGCAUGUACAACAGAAGUUUAUUAAUUUCAAGUGAAUGCUGACGAGAGAGUUUGAUUUGUGAUGGCUAUGGUCAGGAACUUAGCAUGAACAUACAUCAGUUUCAUAUAUGCGCCACAUCGGAAUCUCG